ACGUAGGUGGCGAGCGUUGUCCGGAAUUACUGGGUGUAAAGGGAGCGCAGGCGGGGAAACAAGUCAGCUGUGAAAACUAUGGGCUUAACCCAUAAACUGCAGUUGAAACUGUUUUUCUUGAGUGGAGUAGAGGUAGGCGGAAUUCCGAGUGUAGCGGUGAAAGGCGUAGAUAUGCGGAGGAACACCAGUGGCGAAGGCGGCCUACAGGGCUAUAACUGACGCUGAGGCUCGAAAGUGUGGGGAGCAAAAAG
rnacentral:rRNA from 1 species